GACGAACGCUGGCGGUAUGCUUAAUACAUGCAAGUCGAACGGAGUCCAAGGGAAGCUUGCUUCCCUGAAGACUUAGUGGCGGACGGGUGAGUAACGCGUGAGUAACCUGCCUUGGAGAGGGGGAUAACACAGAGAAAUCUGUGCUAAUACCGCAUAAUGUAUAUUUGCCGCAUGACAGAUAUACCAAAGGUCAGCCGCUCCAAGAUGGACUCGCGUCCGAUUAGGUAGUUGGUGAGGUAACGGCUCACCAAGCCGACGAUCGGUAGCCGGACUGAGAGGUCGAUCGGCCACAUUGGGACUGAGACACGGCCCAGACUCCUACGGGAGGCAGCAGUAGGGAAUAUUGCGCAAUGGGGGCAACCCUGACGCAGCAAUACCGCGUGAAGGAUGAAGGUUUUCGGAUUGUAAACUUCAGCAAGCAGGGAAGAAAAAAUGACGGUACCUAGAACAAAAGCCACGGCUAACUACGU
rnacentral:rRNA from 1 species